rnacentral:rRNA from 2 species
AUGCAGUCGAGCGACUGAUUAGAAGCUUGCUUCUAUGACGUUAGCGGCGGACGGGUGAGUAACACGUGGGCAACCUGCCUGUAAGACUGGGAUAACUUCGGGAAACCGAAGCUAAUACCGGAUAGGAUCUUCUCCUUCAUGGGAGAUGAUUGAAAGAUGGUUUCGGCUAUCACUUACAGAUGGGCCCGCGGUGCAUUAGCUAGUUGGUGAGGUAACGGCUCACCAAGGCAACGAUGCAUAGCCGACCUGAGAGGGUGAUCGGCCACACUGGGACUGAGACACGGCCCAGACUCCUACGGGAGGCAGCAGUAGGGAAUCUUCCGCAAUGGACGAAAGUCUGACGGAGCAACGCCGCGUGAGUGAUGAAGGCUUUCGGGUCGUAAAACUCUGUUGUUAGGGAAGAACAAGUACAAGAGUAACUGCUUGUACCUUGACGGUACCUAACCAGAAAGCCACGGCUAACUACGUGCCAGCAGCCGCGGUAAUACGUAGGUGGCAAGCGUUAUCCGGAAUUAUUGGGCGUAAAGCGCGCGCAGGCGGUUUCUUAAGUCUGAUGUGAAAGCCCACGGCUCAACCGUGGAGGGUCAUUGGAAACUGGGGAACUUGAGUGCAGAAGAGAAAAGCGGAAUUCCACGUGUAGCGGUGAAAUGCGUAGAGAUGUGGAGGAACACCAGUGGCGAAAG